CUUUAUUUGAGAUGGAGACUUGUGUCGCUCAUCCCGACGUCAGGUUCCUGGGCUGAAGUAGUCCUCCUGCUUCAGCCUCCCAAGUGCUGGGACUGUUGGCACGGGCCACCAUGCCUGGCUCUUAGCAGAUUUUUGUAGGAAGGGCUACAGAAAAGCACGAAGGGAAUUGGAACAGGAGGGAGUAGCCAGGACAAGUGAAAUAUCACCGAGGACACUGAACCUCCCCGCUCUGAGCACUGGCUCCUGGAGGCUGUUUGGUGAGAAAUACAAUUCUGAUUAAAAUAAUGACUGGACUUAAACUUUUAUCCAUGCUCCCUCCUAAAAUUUCUCUGAAAUGGCAACAAGAUGAAGAUGGUGGGAGAAGAGACAUUAAGAAUGACAUUUUGGAAUUGAGAAAGGAGGAG
ensembl:lncRNA